rnacentral:rRNA from 1 species
UACGUAGGGUGCGAGCGUUAAUCGGAUUUACUGGGCGUAAAGCGCGCGUAGGCGGUGCGGUAAGUCAGGGGUUAAAGGCUGCAGCUCAACUGCAGUAAGGCCUUUGAUACUAUCGUGCUAGAGUGUCAGAGAGGAUGGCGGAAUUCCUGGUGUAGCAGUGAAAUGCGUAGAUAUCGGGAGGAACACCAGUAGCGAAGGCGGCCAUCUGGCUGAUAACUGACGCUGAGGUGCGAGAGCGUGGGGAGCAAACAGG